CCCCUGGUGGUCUAGUGGUUAGGAUGCGGCACUCUCACCGACGCGGCCCAGGUUCGAUUCCCGGUGAGGGGA
rfam:Manacus vitellinus contig2179, whole genome shotgun sequence.